rnacentral:rRNA from 1 species
CGGCGAACGGGUGCGUAACACGUGAGCAACCUACCCCUAAGACCGGGAUAGCCCGAAGAAAUUCGGAUUAAUACCGGAUACCCUGCCCGAAUCUCAUGGUUUGGUCAGGAAAUGCUUUUGCGCUUUGGGAUGGGCUCGCGGCCUAUCAGCUUGUUGGUGAGGUAACGGCUCACCAAGGCGACGACGGGUAGCUGGUCUGAGAGGACGAUCAGCCACACUGGAACUGAGACACGGUCCAG